UGAGGAAUAUUGGUCAAUGGUCGGGAGACUGAACCAGCCAAGCCGCGUGAGGGAGGAAGGUACAGAGUAUCGUAAACCUCUUUUGUCAGGGAACAAAGGCGGGGACGUGUCCCCGGAUGAGUGUACCUGAAGAAAAAGCAUCGGCUAACUCCGUGCCAGCAGCCGCGGUAAUACGGAGGAUGCGAGCGUUAUCCGGAUUUAUUGGGUUUAAAGGGUGCGCAGGCGGUCUGUUAAGUCAGCGGUCAAAGCCCGGGGCUCAACCCCGGCCCGCCGUUGAAACUGGCAGUCUCGAGUUGGAGAGAA
rnacentral:rRNA from 1 species